AGCCUUGUAUUCACGUUGAUGAUAACAGAAUGCAAUUCUGUAGGGGUAGGGUUUAAUUAACUUACCAAGGCCU
rnacentral:tRNA from 1 species